rnacentral:rRNA from 1 species
GAUGAACGCUGGCGGCGUGCCUAACACAUGCAAGUCGAGCGAUUUACUUCGGUAAAGAGCGGCGGACGGGUGAGUAACGCGUGGGUAACCUGCCUCAUACACAUGGAUAACAUACCGAAAGGUAUGCUAAUACAAGAUAAUAUAAGAGAUUCGCAUGGGUCUCUUAUCAAAGCUCCGGCGGUAUGAGAUGGACCCGCGUCUGAUUAGCUAGUUGGUAAGGUAACGGCUUACCAAGGCGACGAUCAGUAGCCGACCUGAGAGGGUGAUGGGCCCAAUUGUAACUGAGACGCGGUCCAAGCUCCUACGGAGGUGGGCAGUGGAGAAUAUUGCACAGUGGGCGAAAGCCUGAUGCAGCAACGCGGCGUGAGCGAUGAAGUCCUUCGGGUCAUAAAGCUCUGUCCUCAAGGAAGAUAAUGACGGUACUUGAGGAGGAAGCCCCGGCUAACUACGUGCCAGCCGCCGCGGUAAAAC